rnacentral:rRNA from 1 species
UCGGGAAUUUUGGGCAAUGGGGGAAACCCUGACCCAGCAACGCCGCGUGAAGGAUGAAGUAUUUCGGUAUGUAAACUUCGAAAGAAUAGGAAGAAUAAAUGACGGUACUAUUUAUAAGGUCCGGCUAACUACGUGCCAGCAGCCGCGGUAAUACGUAGGGACCAAGCGUUGUUCGGAUUUACUGGGCGUAAAGGGCGCGUAGGCGGCAUGACAAGUCACUUGUGAAAUCUCUGGGCUUAACCCAGAACGGCCAAGUGAUACUGUCGCGCUAGAGUGCAGAAGGGGCAAUCGGAAUUCUUGGUGUAGCGGUGAAAUGCGUAGAUAUCAAGAGGAACACCUGAGGUGAAGACGGGUUGCUGGACUGAUACUGACGCUGAGGCUCGAAAGCGUGGGGAGCAAACAGGAUUAGAUACCCCCGUAGUCCCUGAGCGGGCUGGCAAGGCGCAU